GACUGCCUAUACCAUUGAUCGGCCCUAACUACAGCGAAAAUCAGAGUCGCUAGAGAUGAUGUUCUUCUCUUCGGAUAUGAAGAAGACGAUGUCUCAACCGUUGUUUAUGCAUCAAUGCGUGACAAAUCGGACAAAGUAAAGAUAAGGUGUUGUCCAUUUGCUAUUGAGACAAGGAUGUGUUGUGCAGCGCGGUGGAUGUCCUUGAUCUUUGUACGCAGAAAACCAGCUGAAAACCAUCCUCCUCGCCCAGGCAUUGCCGUGGAGAUGAACGACAACAGAUAAGGAGUGGAAAGUUACUAUCCCGGUCCAGGACCAGACUGGGUUGGGGGCAGCCACUUUUACCAUGGACCCAUACAUAUAAAAACCUUGUGUUACCGGGCAGGUUUUGUCUUCUUCUUUGGGCUAUCCGGCCAGAAGACAGACGUCUCGUGUGCGGCAGAUACCUAGAUAAGAUCCGGACGUCCUUAUUGCACAUUCCUUUGUAAUAAAUCCAUGUACUCGUGUAAUCAUUGGUCUUCCCCGAUCCGUGAACACGUGUAGGGCCCAAACUCGCAAAUACCUACAAUGUAUUGGUGACCUCGACUAUAAGUCCAGGGUGGCAGACGGCCGUUUGCUGUCGACAGAUGACAUUUUUUGGAGACAUAUGAGAAACACCCUGGACAGUCUGGGUCGGAGCAUGCUAUGUUCUCCCGAUCACUGGAUUAAAGAUUGUCCUACAGCUCCUUCACCUCAAGGUCCAAUGCAAGGGUGUGGUGGCUGGUCCAACAACCGAGGGGGCCAAGGCAGAGGCAGAAAUGACAGCUUUGGCGGCCCACCCUGGCAGCAGGAUGGACAGCAGCAGGUUAGACAGUAGCACUAGGAGCGCCCGAGAAGCCAGAGGUCUGGUGAUGCAGGUGGCAUGAUCACAUCUCUGUUGCGGGCCGAAAAGUGAACACUCACGUUGACACGGGCAACACACUCUUCACUCAACAUCUCGCUCUUGGACAUAAUAUUGUCACAACACACUGUCCAAUUGAUGGGCUUCUCAGAGACUCAACAGGCCCUGCAAUGGACUCAACCCCUACCGACAAUCUUGGCUGGACAGACCUUCCACGAUUUGUUUAUAAUGCCGACAGCUGACACCGUCUGCCACUCUGGACAAUGGCUUAUGACACUUGUGAGUGAACAAACUCCCAACUGUGGACAUUUAUUGGGCCCGACUUGAACCAGAAACACUGCUCAAACCUGGUCUCAUACAUCAAUUUCUGUUAUGGAAGCCCUAGUUACGCAUUCUGAGGGCAUAACCACAUCCACAUCAGUGCCAGUUGUUAGCACAACCCACCCGGAAAUAUUUAUCACACAGAAGAGUUGUAUUAUAAACAAAGGCCUAUCUGUUGAGUGGUUUUGGGUUUUGACAGGCAUUCGCGCAGUAAACAGUAAUUGGUUACUAAUGGCAGAACAAGUGGCUAAUAAAACCCUGAGUAACUGUGUUGUAUGUAUGGGACCUAGACCUUUGUUACGUGUUGUUUCCUCUUCUGUCAACUCCACCUGUGUUCUGGAUCUUGUGAAAAAUUAUGUGGCGACUAAAAAUUAAUGCAAAAUUUGGGAUACUGCCCACCCGGUAACAACAGUCCUCUGGAACAAACCUGUGUUUAAUCGUGCUGUGACGCGCCAAAACUUUGCCUGUAUUUUCCUUAAAGGUAAUUGUGCCGCAAUUGGAAAUAUUGCUGAUGAUCAGUGUGCAGAGACCCAGGAAGCACCUUUCUUUCAACCAGUCAGCCGUGCUGAUGUGUGGUGGUGGUGCGGAGGCGACUGUAUCUUCGACCGCCUCCCGCUCAACAGUCUGAGCAGAUGUGCAUUAGUACGUUGGGGUUUACCCCAGUGGAUGAGAGGGUAGCCUCCCUCCGCCUUCAGGUAGGGGAAUGACUGUUGUUCACAGCACUUCAGAGUACCCACCCUUUUCGGAGUCCUUGGAGGGAGUGCUGGAGAACGCCCACUCCGGGGACUUCAUCAUUCUGCUGUGGGACUUCAAUGCUCGUGUCGGGAAUGACAGUGAGACCUGGAAGGGCGUGAUUGGGAAGAACGCCCCCAAACCCCCCCGUCAGAACCCAAGUGGUGUUCUGUUACUGGACUGCUGUGCUUGUCACGAACACCAUGUUGAGGCAUAAAGGUGUCCACAUGUGUACCUGGCUCCAGGACACCCUGGUUGCAGUUCAAUGAUCAACUUUGUGGUCGUGUCAUCGGACUUGCGACCGCAUGUCUUGGACACUCUUUUUAGUCUGUAUUGAUACAUGUUAAUAUUUUGUGCACAUUUGCAUGUUACUAAAGUCCGUUUGUUUAUAUAAUUUAACAAUAUGAAUUAUGCACAGAGUACUGAGGUGACAAUUUGACAGACCGUGCCUUUCUGCAUCAAGAACUAUCCAAGUCGUGCAUAUUUAUUGGUCUGAAUUGGAUACUUGAUACAGAACCAACGGAUGUUUAAACUCCUGUUGUCGUAGUUGAGGAUCAACUGGUCAGUCUACACUAAGCAGAUAAUUGCUCUGAUUGUGUCACUUAAAGUCAUACAACAGACUGCAGAAGCUACUUCUGGAUAGAGGACAAAUCCCAUGUGGUCAGUGAUAAGAAGGCUCCGUUACCGCAGCUUCCAAUGUUGGCGAAGUACUAAGCACAAAGAAGGCGGUUGUCUGUGUCAUAUAAGGAGAAACGAAUGUCACAGUACAAUUUGGAAGCAGUCAGUGGCAUGGAGGAUCACCCAUGAAGCUGAUGCACUGCGACUCCACCAGGAUCAACUGGGUGGAGCUGUAUGUGAAACUGGUAUCUGGCUUCACGAGUUGGGGUACUUGGCGUGUCUCCAGAUGGCAUUGUCCUCUGCCCCCCAUCAAGAGGAAAGAUAUUCUGGCAACCAGAGACCCAGGACCUGGUGCUUCAAUUUAUCGAGGGCAAAUGUCCAUAUUCAGAGGCACAGAUGAAAAUAAUAAGUACAAAAUGAGAACUUCAUCCUCAAGAAAAGUGAUGCAUACUAUCAUCAAAUACAGGGUCAGAUGUACCUAACAGGAAUAAGAUACUGUGACCUUGUGGUAUGGAACACCGGAAGACUUUGCCAUCAUCAAGAUACCCGGAGAUAGAUCUUGGGUCCCAAACCUGGUUUGCAUCAGUUCAUCUUGGCUCGGAGAAGAGAAGCUGGUGGCUGUUCUGGACAUUGACAAAUGGCUAUUGCUUUGCUUAGGUGAGUUUUAAAUUGCACUUAAGGAUUUUUGCGCCAAAUUGCAUUGACUGACAUUAUUUUUCCUGAAAUGUUCCGCACACCAUGUGAUGAUAUCCUUUAUAUAUUGAUUUUUGAUGCAGUGGCGCCUGAGGGGUUCGAAUGUCAAGGGUUUUCAUUGUCGGUUUUCAGUCUUGCCACUUACAUGGAGUGAUUUCUCCAUAUUCCCUGAACCGUUUGAUAUUAUGAACCGUAGCUGAUUCUUCUUUUUUUUUCCUUUCGGCUUGUCCCAUUAGGGGUCGCCACAGCGUGUCAUCUUUUGCCAUCUUAGCCUAUCUCUUGCAUCUUCCUCUCUAACCCCAACUGCCCUCAUGUCUUCCCUCACCACAUCCAUAAACCUUCUCUUUGGUCUUCCUCUCGCCCUUUUGCCUGGCAGCUCCAUCCUCAGCACCCUACCACCAUUACACUCACUCUCUCGCUUCUGAACAUGUCCAAACCAUCGAAGUCUGCUCUCUCGAACCUUGUCAGCAAAACAUCCAACUUUGGCUGUCCCUCUAAUGAGCUCAUUUCUAAUCCUAUCCAACCUGGUCACUCCGAGCGAGAACCUCAACAUCUUCAUUUCUGUCACCUCCAGUUCUGCUUCCUGUUGUUUCUUCAGUGCCACCGUCUCUAAUCCGUACAUCAUGGCCGGCCUCACCCAUUUCUUCACUUCCUUACCACACUCACCAUUGCUCUGGAUUGUUGAGCCUAAAUAUUUGAAGUCGUCCACCCUCGCUAUCUCUUCUCCCUGUAGCCUCACUCUUCCCCCUCCACUUUUCUCAUUCACGCACAUAUAUUCUGUUUUACUUCGGCUAAUCUUCAUUCCUCUCCUUUCCAGUGCAUGUCUCCAUCUUUCUAAUUGUUCCUCUGCAUGCUCCCUGCUUUCUCUGCAAAACACAUUAUCAUCUGUGAACAUUAUGGUCCAAGGGGAUUCCAGUCUAACCUCAUCUGUCAGACUAUCCAUUACCACUGCAAACAGGAAGGGGGUCAGAGCUGAUCCCUGAUGUAGUCCCACCUCCACCUUAAAUUCCUCUGUCACACCUAAGGCGCACCUCACCAUUGUUCUGCUGCCAUCACACAUGUCCUGUACUAUUUUAACAUACUUCUCUGCCACACCAGACUUACGCAUGCAGUACCACAGUUCCUCUCUUGGUA